rnacentral:snRNA from 1 species
UGGGAGGGAGAUCUGGCUGCAGCAUCUGUCACCCCAUUGAUCACCAGAGUUGAAUCAGCUGAUCUAGCUGGCUAGGCGGGAGUUCCCUUCUUCCCUCACAGGUCUAUAUGCUUCUCUCCAGAAGCUGCACACUUAGUCGAAGAGGACUACCUUCCCUGAAUAGAGGAGGACUAGUCCAAAUA